rnacentral:rRNA from 1 species
GACGAACGCUGGCGGCGUGCCUAACACAUGCAAGUCGAGCGAAUGAAGUUCCUUCGGGAAUGGAUUUAGCGGCGGACGGGUGAGUAACACGUGUGCAACCUGCCCCCUUGAGGGGAAUAGCCUUCCGAAAGGGAGAUUAAUACCGCAUAAGAUUGUAGUAUCGCCUUAUACAGCAAUUAAAGGAGCAAUCCGCUAUGAGAUGGGCCCGCGGCGCAUUAGCUAGUUGGUGAGGUAACGGCUCACCAAGGCGACGAUGCGUAGCCGACCUGAGAGGGUGAUCGGCCACAAUGGGACUGAGACACGGACCAGAAUCCUACGGGAGGGAGCAGUGGGGAAUAUUGCACAAUGGGGGAAAACCUGAUGCAGCAACGCCGGGUGAGUGAUGACGGCCGUCGGGUUGUAAAGCUCUGUCUUCAGGGACGAUAAUGACGGUACCUGAGGAGGAAGCCACGGCUAACUACGUG